rnacentral:rRNA from 1 species
GGGUUGCCCGAGUAGCACGGGGCCCGAGGAAUCCCGUGUGAAUCUGCCAGGACCACCUGGUAAGCCUGAAUACUACCUGUUGACCGAUAGCGGAUCAGUACCGUGAGGGAAUGGUGAAAAGUACCCCGGGAGGGGAGUGAAAUAGUACCUGAAACCAUGUGCCUACAAACCGUUGGAGCCUCCUUGUGGGGUGACAGCGUGCCUUUUGAAGAAUGAGCCUGCGAGUUAGUGAUACGUGGCGAGGUUAACCCGUGUGGGGAAGCCGUAGCGAAAGCGAGUCUGAAUAGGGCGAUUGAGUCGCGUGUCCUAGACCCGAAGCGGAGUGAUCUACCCAUGGCCAGGUUGAAGCGCGUGUAAGAGCGCGUGGAGGACCGAACCCACUUCAGUUGAAAAUGGAGGGGAUGAGCUGUGGGUAGGGGUGAAAGGCCAAUCAAACUCCGUGAUAGCUGGUUCUCCCCGAAAUGCAUUUAGGUGCAGCGUCACGUGUUUCUUCCCGGAGGUAGAGCUACUGGAUGGACGAUGGGCCCUACAAGGUUACUGACUUCAGCCAAACUCCGAAUGCCGGGAAGUGAGAGCGUGGCAGUGAGACUGUGGGGGAUAAGCUUCAUAGUCGAGAGGGAAACAGCCCAGACCACCGGUUAAGGCCCCUAAGCGUGUGCUAAGUGGGAAAGGAUGUGGAGUUGCUGAGACAACCAGGAGGUUGGCUUAGAAGCAGCCACCCUUGAAAGAGUGCGUAAUAGCUCACUGGUCAAGUGAUUCCGCGCCGACAAUGUAGCGGGGCUCAAGUACACCGCCGAAACCGUGGCAUUCAGUUUUGCUGGAUGGGUAGGGGAGCGUCGUUCACGAGGUGAAGCCAGCGGGUAACUUCUGGUGGAUUGUGGACGAGUGAGAAUGCAGGCAUGAGUAGCGAAAGACGGGUGAGAAACCCGUCCGCCGGAUGACUAAGGGUUCCAGGGUCAAGCUAAUCUGCCCUGGGUAAGUCGGGACCUAAGGCGAGGCCGACAGGCGUAGUCGAUGGACAACGGGUUGAUAUUCCCGUACCAGUGAAGAACCGCCCAUGCUGAGCCGGUGAUACUAACCGCCCGAACCAUCCCGAACCCCGUCUUUGACGGGGACGG